rnacentral:rRNA from 1 species
UACGUAGGGUGCAAGCGUUAAUCGGAAUUACUGGGCGUAAAGCGUGCGCAGGCGGUGAUGUAAGACAGGUGUGAAAUCCCCGGGCUUAACCUGGGAGCUGCAUUUGUGACUGCAUCGCUGGAGUGCGGCAGAGGGGGAUGGAAUUCCGCGUGUAGCAGUGAAAUGCGUAGAUAUGCGGAGGAACACCGAUGGCGAAGGCAAUCCCCUGGGCCACUACUGACGCUGCGAAGCGAAAGCGUGGGGAGCGAACAGG